rnacentral:lncRNA from 1 species
UUUAAACUGUGGAUUUUUUUAUAGACAGCCCCAUUCCUUCCCCGCAUCUGCUAGAGAGCAGGGCAAGGCCAAAGGGUCAGAGGCUCGAGGAAUGCGGGGUGGUGUCGGGGGGUAAAAGGACAUACCUGAGAAGGCCCCAGACCCUCGCUCCACCAGGAGGUAAGGAAACUGAAGCCUCAGGCGAAGAGAUGAUUUCAAAGAACUUCAGAGCUAAGAGUCUUCUUCGACUAAAGAACUUGAAGGGCCAGUUCCAGAGACCCUGUGACCUCAGGCUCCAGAGAUGGCUCCGUAAGGCAAACUCACCAUGACCACUGGUCAAUGACUCACUUCUCCUCCCAGGCGCCCUCCCAGGGAUGAGCGCUCCUUCACUCUGCCUCCCUCAGCCCUUGCUCCGGUCUCUCUGCAGCUGGGGUCAGUGUUCCCAGUGAAGUCAGCGUGUGGAGCACACAUGCCUCGUACCCACAUUCAUGCCCAUGUGUGCGUGUGCACACGCAUGUGGGGCCUGUGUGUCUCUUUCUCUGAGACCCACUCAAGAUCUGCAUGCACCUCGGGCCCCCUCCCAGAGUGCUGCAGCCAGAUGCACCUGGAGCCCCACCCGUCAGCCCAGGGAGACAUGCCCCUGCUGAAUUCAGAGAAUGAUCCAGAAGGAUUCAGGAAAUGAGGACCAUUCAUGAACCCAGCGACUGAUGAAGAGCACCUUCCUCACAUCCGCUGCCAAACUCACCCGAAAAGAAGAGACAGAGGAAGACCCCAGAGGAUUGCAAUUUGAGGACACCUCCAACUCAUGCUCACUGCACUUGGUCCAAAAUGAUCAGAGGGGAGAUUUGGCUCAUGCUCUGGCCUCACUGGCUCCCAUCACCAUUGCCUCUGCCCCUCCAGCCUCUGCCAGGCGCCUGGCUCUGACCCUUGCUGACACUUCAGGCCCCUCACCCUUAGAACUGACUGCCAAAGGGCUAGUUGCUUAGUCUUCAAGUAAAGGGGGUCUGGAGGACUAUGGAGGAGGCAUAGUGCCUAGAGAGCCCCUCGCCUCAAGACACCCCCACUGCACUUGGGAGGAAAGGCAGGGCUGGGGGAUGGAGGCACUGUGGGGGCCUUUCCUAUUUGGCAGCAGCUGCAGCCAUGCGCACCAUAGCCACAGCACGCAGCACACAUCUUCUGUCUCACAGUGAUUGAAGAUUUUGCCAAACCACCGGUCAGACAGAUUUCCCCCCAAGCCCCACAUUAAUUGAUUUUUGGAUUCUGCAACCCAAGCUCAAGCUCAAGCUCCGAGCUCACUGCUGAGCUCAGACUCCUGGGUGUCCCACAACGGCUUCGAUGUGGAGGCCAUGACGCUGAAGCCAAAGUUGUCAGACACCUGGGCUGCACUUGCCUGUGCAACGAGCCUGGGAAAGCAGCUCUGGGGAUUGCACCCACAGUGCCAGGGCUCGGGAGCCUCUGAGCUCAGGGAGGCCUUCAGGGACAGGCGCUCGGCCAGCUGCCUGGGUAGGCUACUAAUGAGCAGAUGUGUUCCAGGCUGUCUGCCCAAGGGGCAGCUGCACCUGGGCUGGAGAGCUGAGACUCUCUGGGGUUCUGCAGCCUCUGUCCUCCUCAGCCUGGCCCGACAGCCCCUCGUUCUGAUACAGGAGGGCACAGCUGCCUGACGCCCCUCCUUCCCCAUCUCUGCCUCUCUAAUCUUCCUUGAGGAAGAUUCCAUCAGAGGUUUUACUUACAUAUUCCUACACCAUGCCUGGAACAUAGUAGGUACUCAAUAAAUCCAACUUUUCCUGAGUUAGUGGUGAGGAAAAGCUGGACUCAGGAUCAGGCUGCCUGUGAAGCCUGGCCUGUAGCCUGCCAGCUCUCCCAGCCUCAGGGUCCUCACACCCACACGUGUGUGCAGUAACAGAGCACUUCUUGCCUGCAACAGUGCCUGGUUCCCAGUGUAUGCCACUGGGAUCCGUAUUAUUAUUAAGUGAUCCGUAUUAUUAUUUUAUCUUAAGAGAGGAAUCCAGCUGUGUCCAAAUGAGGGGUUGGGACAAAAUAAAAGCUAGAAUCCAGUCUUGCAGGUGGGGACAUGGCACCUGGGUCUCCACACUGACCCGUGCUGCCCACCCUCUCACAUGCUAUCUAGAGACGGCACUCCUUGUGGAAUGCUGCAGGAGGUGCUCCACUGGCACGAAGUGGGUGGGCUCUUAGCACAGACCCAAACAGUAAGUGACUUUUCACACUCCCAUCGCAUCUCCAAAGCUACAUGCAAAACACUGAUCUUCACAGGGGUUAGAACACAACUUCCAGAAGGCCUCUUU